CCUACGGGAGGCUGCAGUGGGGAAUAUUGCGCAAUGGGGGGAACCCUGAUGCAGCAACGCCGCGUGGGUGAAGAAGUACUUCGGUAUGUAAAGCCCUGUCAGCAGGGAAGAAAAUGACGGUACCUGACCAAGAAGCCCCGGCUAACUACGUGCCAGCAGCCGCGGUAAUACGUAGGGGGCAAGCGUUAUCCGGAUUUACUGGGUGUAAAGGGAGCGUAGACGGCAAGGCAAGUCUGGAGUGAAAGCCCGUGGCUCAACCACGAGACUGCUUUGGAAACUGUGUUGCUGGAGUGCAGGAGGGGUAAGCGGAAUUCCUAGUGUAGCGGUGAAAUGCGUAGAUAGUAGGAGGAACACCGGUGGCGAAGGCGGCUUACUGGACUGUAACUGACGUUGAGGCUCGAAGGCGUGGGGAGCAAACAGGAUUAGAUACCCGGGUAGUC
rnacentral:rRNA from 1 species